rnacentral:tRNA from 1 species
GGAAGGGUGCGUGAGUGGUUGAAACGACACGCUUGGAAAGCGUGCAUACCGUAACAGGUAUCGGGGGUUCGAAUCCCCCCCCUUCCGCCA